GGCUCAUUGGUCUGUGGGUAUGAUUCUCGCUUCGAUUCCAAGAGGACCUGGGUUCAAUUCCCGGAUGAGCCC
rnacentral:tRNA from 1 species